UGGCGGUUAGAAAACAAGGGUGGGAUGGGUGGGUAUUUUUUUUAUAUAUAUAUACGCAGCAAGCAAUGAUGAUCAGAUCAAGGGUGGGAUGGAUGGGUACAUGCAGCAAGCAAUUUGAUGAUUAGAACAAAGAUAAUAACUAGAACAAUGUGGAAAAGAAAAAUUCAGCAACUAGACAAAUAUUAAAGGAUUAAAACUCGAUAAAGCAAACUACAAAAUCAGUAGCACAUAUGAAUUUGGGCUGUAGGUUUUCUUUUUGGCUCUCAGUGGACAGUAGGUAUUUAAACUCUAUCCUACCAAAAUCUCGAACAAUCCUACCGAGGAAACGAAGGCUUUGGUACCAGAUGAUAUGCUCACGCCUAGGGAUAGCGUGAGACAAGUCGUUGUGGCCCGAUCUUCUCGUAGGAUUCGCGAACUUGAUAACUUGUCGCUGCGUGACCUGGUGAAGAGGCAGUGCACCGCGAGGCUGUCCACGCGACGAACUACCGAGACAAUCACCCUUCCACGUACCGACGAACAGCCCACGCAAUCACGCCGUAUAGACGUGAAGCCACAAACUGGAUGAACCGCAGUUCGGCGUUCUACUGGUAUCCCGCAAUACAGUACGUUCCAUGUAAACCGUAAACCUAUCUUUCAUCAAGAUUAGCACUAUCUCCAAACAGACCGAACCGAGCUUUCACUGGAACCUCUUCACCUAGGAGUACCAUCGGGAACUUCCACAACGAUUUCUGAGCCUAUGGUGCACUGGGCACAAACCAUGCAACUAUCUUGCACCGAAACUAAUAAUAUCUCCAACUGGACUGAAGCGAGAUUCCAUAUGAUACACUUCAUCUAGUAGUUCCAUCGGGUGCAUCUACAAUUCCAUCAGGUGAGUCCAAAUUGAUUUCUGAGCAUAUGGUAUGUUCCCUGCAAACCGUGCACCUAUCUUGCAUCAAGAUUAGAACUAUCUCCAAACAGACAGAACCAAGAUUCACAUGAGCCUCUUCACCAAGGAGUACCAUUGCGUGCGUCCAAAAUAGUUUCUUAGCCUAUGGUGCAUUAGGCACAAACUGUGUACCUAUCUUGCACCGAAACUAACACUAUCUCCAAAGAGACCGAAGUGAGAUUCUAUAUGACACACGUCAUCUAGUAGUUCUAUUGGGUGCUUCCAAAUAUAUUUCCAAGCAUAUGGUACGUUCCAUGCAAUUCGUGCACCUAUCUUGCAUCAAGAUUAGCACUAUCUCCAAACAAAGCAAACUGAGCUUCAGUAUCAUCGGGUGCAUCCAAAAUGGUUUCUUAGCCUAUGAUGAAUUAGGCGCAAACUGUGUACCUAUCUUGCACCAAAACUAACUCUGUCUCCAAAUAGACCAAAGCGAGAUUCCAUAUGACACAUGUCAUCUAGGAGUUCUAUUGUGAUGCAUCAAAAUAGAUUUCUUAGCAUAUGGUAUGUUCCAUGAAAACCGUGCACCUAUCUUGCAUCAAGAUUAGCACUAUCUCCAAACAGACCGAAGUGAGAUUAUAUAUGACACAUGUCAUAUAGGAGUUCUAUUGCGGUACGUCCAAAUGGAUUUCCUAGCAUAUGGUAUGUUCCAUGCAAACCGUGCACCUAUCUUGCAUCAAGAUUAGCACUAUCUCCAAACAGAUCGAACCGACCUUCCACCUGAGCCUCUUCACCUAGGAGUAUUAUCGGGUGCUUCCAUAAUAGUUUCCGAGACUAUGGUGCAUUAUGCGCAGACCAUGCACCAAUCUUGCACCUAAACUAACACUGUCUCUAAACAGAUUGAAGCGAGAUUCCAUAUGACACACAUGAUCUAGGAGUUCUAUCGGGUACGUCCAAAUUGAUUUAUGAGAAUAUGGUACGUUCCAUGCAAACCGUACACCUAACUUUCAUCAAGAUUAGCACUGUCUCCAAUAGACUGAAUCGAGCUUUCACUUGAGCCUCUUCACCUAGGAGUACCAUCGGGAACUUCCACAACAAUUUCUCAGACUAUGGUGCACUGGGCACAAACCAUGCAACUAUCUUGCACCGAAACUAAAACUAUCUCCAACUGGACCGAAGCGAGAUUCCAUAUG
rnacentral:lncRNA from 1 species